ensembl:lncRNA
CAGAAAACCCUUUGAAUUGCAUGUUCCUUGGAAUCUGUGCUGUUUUCUCUGGUAGAUAAAACUUUUUUCUUUUUUUUUUUUUUGUCUGGGAUAUUAAGCAAACAUAUCUUGGGAAAGAGCCAACCUCCCUUCAGUCUCUGAUUGCUACACAACCCACCUGAUAAGAGGCAGCGAAGAUGUUUUGGUGUACAGUUGUACACUUGACCUCCAUUCAGGCCACAGAAAUGGCUGCUGCCCCCAGGAGAGUGUGGAGCUGGGAUGCAAGAGCCACAGCUGUGAUGCUGCACAGUGCUCUGCACAGUGCAAACAGCUUCUGAGAGGCAGUUCCUGCAGCUCCAGGUUCCAGGCUCUGUGCAUCCUCUGGGAUGGAUCUCAUCGCUGCCCUUUCCGCUGGGGGCCGUACAGGGGACACAGAAACGCUGCUGCCAAGGGGUGCAGAGAAGGAUGCGACAGCAUCACCAGCCUUGGAAGAAGUGACAGCAACAAGGGAGAUGGAAAGUCUGAAGGUGGCCAACUCUGAUGGAGCAGUGAUGGAAGCGUCAGAAAACCCAGAGGCAGAAGGAAUUGCUGAAAUGAUCCGAGCAGCAGAACGAAUAGCAAAAUGCGAAGUGGCCAAAGUGCUGCAGUCAGCAAUAGCUGAGCUCAAAGAGAUGAGGAGGAGCACGUUGUUAAAGCCAAGGAACAACACCCAACAGGAGGAGGAGGACUGGGAGAAGAAGUGAGAGGUGAUGUGAAGUGAAGAUUUUCAUCGCCAGGGGAGAUGAGGACAGGACGGAAAGCAAUCCUUGUGCUUCAUGGAGGUGAGCGCCCAUUUCAGAAGACACAAAGGCUUUUCCCAGAGCUCUGAAGGUCAGAUGCUCACUUUUCCAGCUGAGGAAUUUGGGACUAUUCGUGCUGCCUACCUUUAAGGUGCCUGUUUUGGGUCCCGAAGUGAUGAAGCUCUUCCUUCGAACUUCUGUGCUUCCUCUGGAAUGAACCCUUAGAGACCAGCCUCCCAGAACUGGGUACGAAGAUCAGCGUAUGUGAGUAUCCUUCACCCCCAUCAUCUCAUCAAUAGCAUUUGGGAGCUAAAACUGAAGCAGUAGGAAAAAAAACUUGUAUAUUGUAGGCAUCAUGAUAACAACAGGAGCUGGUAGCACAGUAAGCUUGUGUUGUCAAGCCAGCUGUUAAAACGUAGGUGUGGGAGAGAGGGCCCAGCUGAGCUGUCU